rnacentral:tRNA from 1 species
CCCCCAGUGGCUCAGCGGUAAAGAACCCGCCUGCAAUGCAGGAGACCCAGGUUCAAUCCCUGGAUGGGGAA